rnacentral:snRNA from 1 species
UUACUUCGGCAUCACAUAUACUAAAAUUGGAAUGAUACAGAGAAAAUUAGCAUGGCCCCUGUACAA